ensembl:lncRNA
AGAUAAUACCUGAGCUGGAGGAAUCAGAUCAGAACAUGAAUGCUUUUGUUGUAAUUCCAACUCAAAGGAAUAUUUUUGCCGUAAUAAAACCUAACAGUCUUAAGUAGCUUUGAUUUUCCAUUGCAGUAUUGUGGCUUUGUCCCUGAGUAGCAUCACAGAGCUGAAUCUUCAGCUGGUUGGUUUACCUGUGAGGUAAAAGCUAAGGGUAUUGAUUUAUCUGGGACUCCAUUGCUCUGAUUAAACAAAGACUCCAACCCACUGUUGUUGAUAAAGUUACCUUGACGUGCAAUGGCAGAGUAUCAGUAUUAGCAUCAAGUUGCCCAGCCCUAGGGACACAGGGAGUAAGAUAAUUAGCACCACAAAGAGUCCAAAGGUACUGGAAGUUAAAAAUAGCACCUGGGUAAAGAAGCAGAUUUCAUAGGAACUGAAAUUUGGGGAGAAAAAUGGAAAGCUGGUGUGUUUGCUAGAGAAGGUGAAGCUGGUCAUGCUUUGACUGGAGUCCUUACAUAGAAAAUGCAGCAACCCUGCACCUCCUGGAUGAGACCAACUCCCAGUGAGUGUUUCUCCCAGGGAGAAACAAAGCACCCCCUGCCUCCCUCCCACAUUCUUCCUUUUGAUUGCUUGUUUACCUGCUUUCAUAUCAAAGACAGCUUAGCUGCCUUUCAUCUCAGCUAUCGCUAUCACUGAGGAACAAACUUCAAAUCAGCCUUCUUGGGAGCUGGCUUCUCAGGAGCCCUUCCUCAAUAACAGAUUCCCGAAGCUCUCAUCUUACUGCAACAGCAGACAUGAACUCGAGGAAUCACCACCCACCCAUGGCUCAGCUGGAGGAGGCUCCAGGGUGGGAUGGAUGAGAUCAGUUGUUGCUUACCCACACGCAACCAGGAUUCCAAGACCAGAUUGCUCUGAGUGUCCACUUCAAACGAAUGGAGAAGUCCCCAGAAUGAUCUCCAUGGACUUGGACUUGCACGUCACCUGGCAGUAUCUCCUGCCCAUAGGAGGCCAGAUCUGCAGGAGAGAGCUAAAAGUAUCCCAUUCCCAUUGGGAGCAGAGACCUGAGACAGCAGCAGAAGGACAGAUGGAAACCCAGCAUGGCCUAACCCCUGCAAACAUAUUCCUGCAUGAUAUACACCAUUAAAGAAAAAAGAUGAAACUAAAGAAGGGGGAAAUCAUCAGCCUGGAUCUUUGGGUGCCGCGCUUCAUGGCUGGCACUGCUGGAAUGGGAUUUCUGACCAUUCUCUCCAGACAGCCAACACAAGAGACCAAGAGAUGGCCCUACAAGCUGACUUUGUGUCCAUUUUCUCAUCUGAUUAGUUGUAGAUUGUUCUAGACAGAUUAUUUUGGAAGUCCCUUUCACAAGUGGGAAUCCAAGACAGAGAGAGCCCUUUUGCCUUGGAGGAAUGUCUCGCUAUUUUCUCUGCUUCACUUUGGGUCUCCUCUUUGGAAUUCAUCUCACCUGACUUCCAGUGUUUCAAAUAUAGACAUUUCCACCCAGGCACAUCACCCUUAAGCCCAUCUGGCAAAGUCUGGCUCUUCUCCAUGUGGCUGGAUAACUCCUAGCCCUUAUUCUGGCUGGUUCUUGGCCAUACUCUUCCUUGGAGAUGGCACUUGGCAUCCAGCACUUUGCCUCAUUUGGCUAGAUCCUGCCCUUGGCCACACGCCACUGGGGUUUGCACCCUUUUCUCCAUCAUUAUCACUCUACUCAUCUACUCUUCCAAGCUUUGCCCUGCUUUUCUUCCUCCUGUUUGUGGUGCAGAUGGCUUGCAUGACCUCAUGGCAUUGCUGGAGCACUGUCAGGGAGCCCAGGGGGUCCUUUCUUGCUUCUCUUCUGUCCUCAACAGGAUUCUAAACCCCUUUGGGAAAUAGGUUUCCUGUCCAUCCCCCAUCACUUGAGCACAUUCACACCAUGUCUCCUUAUUGCUGUUGCAAUAAACAUACCAGGCAAACCCA